AAUAGAAAAAAAAAACACUCUAACUUCUAAUCAGAUAACAUUAUAACCCAGAAAUUAGAUGCAGUCGUUCCAGAAGACAGAUACACAAAGUUCAUUCAAUCUGCUGAUGACUUGUGGCCUCAAACGUAAGACUCCACCUCUGAGCUCCAGACAGACAAGACAGACAAGACAGACAAGACAGACAAGACAGACAGACAGACAGACACACACACACACACAGAGCAGCUGGCCACGCCUCCAGCAUCGCCCAGGAAACACUGUAUUUUCACUGCUGACGCUGUGUAGAUGAUCAACAGCUGCUCCUGGAAGCUCCUGUACAGGGUUGUACGGAGUAUGUUAGAAAUAUUUCAGAAAGAGGCGGGCAUUCCGUGGUGACUCAGAUGAACUGCCUGUCACAGUCUGGGUUCCCUUAAAAACACAGCCUGAGUCAAGAAGUCGCCUCCGUGAAGAUUUUCUUAGUAGGCAAUGUCAGGGUGCAGGAAUGAGAAAUUGUCACGCUGACCAGCUGUCCCUGUUUGUAGAACACUGAGAAGUUUUCUAAGAAGUGAAACCCAAGAAGUACAUAUGAGAGGAGCAGUCAACUGAGUUGAAGGCAAAUGGAAGAGACUGGACUGAUGCAGUCAACGAAGACAAGAGGACACUCUUCAUCCAGAAACAAUCAUGCUUGUAGACCGUCUGGUUCACUGUCGCUUGGCUCCGUCAUGGUAGCAGGAACAAAUGGCAGAAGAAAUUCUUUGCACCAUCUCAGCACGGCAGGAGGGUUAAUGUGCUUCCAAGAAUCUGCUAAUGACCUACUUCCUCCAGCUAACCUCCUCAUCUAAGGGUCUUGAAUUCCCUCGAAAUGGCAUCAGUUUUGGGAAGUCGCCCAAACUAUCUUUCAGUGUAGGAGCCUCUUGGAGGGACACUUCAACUCUAGACUGCAGCAGAUGCCCUCCAACUUGAUGCUAUAAGAACUCAAAACUCUUCUGCCCUUGCCCCCAGGUGCUUGUGGAUACUUCCAUUUGUAAAGGAGGAAACCACGACCCAAACCGAGCAAGGUGAUGGCAGAGCAGAGAUCUGAACCGGGUCUGCCCGACGCUGGGAUCCGCACAGCAUUCUGCCCAAGUGCCUCCCAGCUGUCAGGAGGACCAAUGGGAACCUCACCUAGCAGCUAAGAAGAGUAUCCUGGGAAAAGAAUAAGGAAGGACACUAAAUCAGGAGAAUGGUGACGUCAUCAUUUGACUGUCUGGUUCCUGCCAGUCUACCAGGUAUAAAAUGGUUUGUUGUUGCCCUUUCUGUUUCUCUGGUAACCAAGGAGCUGGAGAAGAUUUUCUAAAUGCUUUUGAGCUGCUUUUUCCAUAAAUAUCUUGUUCCAGGGAUUUCUUCUUUUUAUUUUUUUUUUCUAUUGAGGUUGAUGCUUUCUUGCAAGAAUUUCUUAUGUAUCCUAGAUAUUAGCAACUUGUCAAUCUUAAACAUUGCAAACAAUUUUCCCCAAUCCACCAGCUCUUUGUCUGGGACACAUGUCACAGAUAAGACAUCUGAAAGCUACAGUUCCUGUGUAAUUGGAUUUCCUAUGGUUUUGCUUAUGGCUUGUCCUCUAUGCACACAGAAUCACUCUGCAUUUUCUUCUGUUUACUUUUUACUAGCUUUUUUUUUUUUUUUCGGAUUGAUUCUCACACACUCCGGGCUAGACAGGAGCUCACUCUGUAGCCAAGGCUGGCCUUGAAUGCCUAGUGUUCCUGUUUCCAUUUCCCGAGUGCUGGGAUCACAGAUGGGCACCGCCUAGCCUGGCUGCCUCCUCUCCAGGUCCAUUUUCACCUUUUACCUUUAGCCUAAUCCACGCAUCCUCCUCCUGUGCGUGUGACGUACAUUGGGAUCCAGCGUUCUCUUCCUCUGCAUCACAGGGGAGUUUCCAGACACCCACACUUUCUCCUAGAUGCAGCUUCCACCUUUGUUGGGUAACAACGUGGUGUUCCUAAGUGUCACAUGUUCUCCUCUGAGCGCCCUAUUCCUCUUCUGUUGGCCCAGAAGCUUUUCUUACAUCAAUACCAUUUUAUUUUAUUUUUUUUAUAUAUUUUAAUUUGUUUUGGUUUUUUGAGACAGGGUUUCUCUGUGUAGCUGUGGCUGUCCUGGAACUCACUUUGUAGACCAGGCUGACCUCGAACUCAGAAAUCCACCUGCCUCUGCCUCCCAAGUGCUGGGAUUAAAGGCAUGCGCCACCAAGCCCAGUUUACAUCAGUACCAUUUAAGAUGACUGCACUCUUUACUUUUGUCUUUCAAUUCUGGACUUCACUUUUUUGUUUUUCAUCAUUUUAUGAAUAUUCAUGAAUUGUACAUAGUAGAUUGCAUUAUGACAUUUGCAUACACGUAUGUGAUGUAUAUCAAUCAUAUUCCGCACUCAUUGCUCUCUCUCUCUCUCUCUCUCUCUCUCUCUCUCUCUCUCUCUCUCUCCUCUCUCUCUUAAAUAACCAGUGAAUUUCAAUAGGAUUGCCCAGAGGAGCCGGAGGAGGAGCUCUUCACAGGCACAUGGGCACCUUACCAGUGGCUGGCUACCCCAUGCAGAAAAUGUCUCUUCUUUGAGCAACCAGGAACUUCUUAUAAAUCCUCAGGACAGGGUAGGGCCUGGAAAGCCCCUGCCUUUGUAAUGUUACUGGAUUCAAUCUAGUGCAGGUAACAACAGCGGCUACCGAUUCAACAGUGCAAUGGCCGAGUUAUGCAGAAGUCCACAUUCCCCGUCCCCUUGCUGCUUCCUCUGACUGGAAUACACUUUCUGCUCCCUCUCCUGCCACGUUCUUUGGGCAUCAGAGAUGAUAUAGAUGUCCCAUUUACUGCUGAGCAUCCAACCAUCAUUUAUUCUCGCUGCUUCCACCAGUUAUGAGCUUCUGCAUUUAUGGCUGCCCACUGCAAAACAAAGCUUCUCUGACCAAAGCCGACAGCAGCACUCACCCAUGGGCAUAAACACUUAUCCAGAAGGCAAUUUGAUGGGCACAUCGUGUCCAUUUAACAAAACAACAGUGGCUGCUUCCCCACUCGGGCCUAUGACCCUCUAAACAUAUUGGCUAUUUCUUUUACAGUGCAGAGCAUAAAACCCAGGUUCUAUGUGUGGUAGACAAGUACUCUAUGGCUAAGUUUCUUCUCCAGUGUGUGUGUGUGUGUGUGUGUGUGUGUGUGUGUGUGUGUGUGUGUAUCCUAGUCAUCUUCUUUAGCAUCUCCAGGCACCCACCCACCCCCACACACACAGAGAGAGAGAGAGAGAGAGAGAACACUUUGAAUUGGAUCUCACUGUGUUGUCCCUGUCCCAGCUAGCCUUGAACUCAUGACCCUUGUGCCUCGGUCCCCCAAGUGCUGAAAUUACAAGUGUAAUUUCACUCUGCCUUGCUGGGCUCUCAAAACACUAAUGUUGUUGCUAUGGAAGUGCUAUCGAUGCUUGCAUUUCAGAAACACCAGUGAGCUCUUUUAGAUCUACCUCUCAUCUAUCGACCUGUUUGCUUUCUACUUAAAGAGUAGCAUCACCUUUGAAGAACAAGUUUCCCUUCAUAGUCCAGAUGUGCACAUCUUAUGUCUUCUCAUUACAGCAUUAGCCAGGCUUUCUGAGUUACGCAGUAUUGCUCACUGUUCUAGUUUGCAUUUCUGUGACUGUGAUUAACACCAUGACCAAAAUCAGCUUGGAGGAAGAAAGUGUUUAUUUGGCUUAUGGGCUACAGUCCGUUAUUAAGAGAAGCUGAGGUGGUUUGAAUGAGAAUGGCCCCUACACGGUCAGAGGUCUGAAUGCUUGGCUACCAGUUGGUGGACUUAUUUGGGAAGGAUUAGGAGGUGUGCCCUUCUCGGAGGGGGUUUAUGACUGAGUGUGGGCUUUGAGGUUUCAAUAGUCCACACCAUUGUCAGUGUCUCACCCCCCAUCUGCUUGUGGUCCAGAUGUAAGCUCCCAGCUAUUGCUCCAGGACCAUGGCUGCCUGCUGCCGUGCUCCUUACCAUGAAGGGCUCACUCUCUCCCUAACUGUGAGCUCCCAUUAAACACUUCCUUCUCUAAGUUAUCUCAGUCAUGGUCUCUUAGCACAGCAAUAGAAAAGGAACUAAGAUAGGAGCCAGGGCAGGCCCUCAAGACAGGAGCUUGAAGCAGAAGCCAUGGACGAAUCCUGUUUCCUGGCUUGCUUCCUCCAGUGACCAGUCAGCUUUCUUAUAUACCCAGGACCACCAACUUGAGGGUGGCACCACCCACAGCGGACUGGCCUUUCCACAUCAAUCAUUAAUGAGGGCAAACAUGAUCACAGGAGAGAACGAUGGGAGCAAACCCUCAAUCUGGGUUCUCUCCCCCAGAUGUUUGUCAAGUCGACAAUCAAGACCAUCAACCAAGUGAUGGCAGGCAUCUCUGUCUUAUAUUUUUUUCAUAAACAGAAUGUGUUGGCUCUGAAAAUGACUCAAAUGUUUGCUGAAGAUUUUUUUGAAAUAUUUUUCCAAGUUGGUUUCCCAUCUCAUCCCACGAUGUUGAAGCCAUUUCAAUCACAAAUAGACACCAUCUAGAUCAAACGCUUCUUUCUGUUCUGAUUGAAGUAAUCAUGGUUUGUCUCAAUAAGUCCCAUUGAUAUGGUGAAUUACUUUUCUGGGUUUUCUGGGGUGGAAACAUUCUUUCAUUCCCAUAAGGAAAUUUUUUCCAUCUGGUUAUGAUGCAUUUUAAAAGAUUCCAUUGCGUCUCCAUUUCAACAUAGAAGUUUGGUGGUCCAUAGACAAAACUGAGGUGACCACCACGCGUCACUGUGCUCUCUGAGCUGUCUCUCCCUGGUUCGCAUCUGUUAUCAUCUCUUGCAUUGGGGCUAUCUCACUUAGAAAUAAAAAACCAGGCCAGUUUCAUAAGUUACCUAUACCUUUUAAAAGAUUUGUGUUUGUUUAUUUGUCUUGUUUUUGUUUUUUGAGACAAGGCUUCUC